CCACAAUACAAACACUGAAAUAAAAGUUCCGUGUCACACAGGAGAAUCAUGACAAAGUCAAGUAAUUAAAUCUGCAUCUCACCAAGUUUAUUGCCAUACUGGCUCUUCUCCAAGAGGCUAUCUGCAAAUGUAAAGAAGUAGAACCAGCCGGUGGUUAUCAUCACGUCAUUUUACUUAAGGCACUGGUAAUGAGCAGCAGGAGUCAGAUUUCUUGAUUGCUAAUUUUUAUUGCUAGCAACAAGGUCCCUCUCAGCUGGGAGCACAAGAAGGACACUGAGCAGUUCUUUGUUACAUCUUAUAAGCUGAGGUAUUCUCUUCUCUUCAGUGGAUGCUCAAGGAACUGGAACGUCCUCCAAGGAGGUCGCUGUGUUUAGAGCCGCCUUCACUUGGGAGCGAUGAAUCCAAGCAAUGAAUCCAAGUUUCUUUACCUGCAACCUUACGAGCAGGAUAAGUGCAUAAUAACACUUGUAUGAGGUCUUCCCGUUUUGGUUGUUGCACGUUUUUUGGCUUUAUGAGUUUUUACCAUAACAUAAUCACCUGGUCAAUACCGGAUGAAGGUAAUCUCCUAAAGGCAGAGGUUGGAUAAUUACAGCUUCAUAUCUUUUGUUUUUAAAACUAUUCUGUAGAUACAUUCCAUACUGGAUAACAGCUUCAUCUCCUGCGAAAAGUCUUGUAUGUGCUGGGACAAAAGUCCCUGAGAUUCUAUCUGGUCUACCAAACAAAAUUUCAAAUGGGAUCAAACCAUGGCUUGGGCCCGGAUGUUGUCUUUGUUCCCAUAAUGCUAAUGGCAAUGCUUCUGUCCACUUUAACUGAGUCUCCCCACAAAUUUUAGCUAACUUCAUUUUUAGUGUAUGUUUCAUUCUUUCUACCUGCCCUGAAGAUAGGGGAAGAUAAGGUGUAUGUAGUCUUCUUGG